rnacentral:rRNA from 1 species
AGUGAACGCUGGCGGCAGGCCUAAUACAUGCAAGUCGAACGGCAGCACAGCAGAGCUUGCUCUGUGGGUGGCGAGUGGCGGACGGGUGAGGAAUACGUGGGAAUCUGCCCAGUCGUGGGGAUAACGUAGGGAAACUUACGCUAAUACCGCAUGCGCCUUCGGGGAAAGCCGGGGACCUUCGGGCCUGGCGCGAUUGGAUGAGCCCACGUCGGAUUAGCUAGUUGGCGGGGUAAAGGCCCACCAAGGCGACGAUCCGUAGCUGGUCUGAGAGGAUGAUCAGCCACACUGGAACUGAGACACGGUCCAGACUCUACGGGAGGCAGCAGUA